AUUGAACGCUGGCGGCAGGCCUAACACAUGCAAGUCGAGCGGAUGAAGGGAGCUUGCUCCUGGAUUCAGCGGCGGACGGGUGAGUAAUGCCUAGGAAUCUGCCUGGUAGUGGGGGAUAACGUCCGGAAACGGGCGCUAAUACCGCAUACGUCCUGAGGGAGAAAGUGGGGGAUCUUCGGACCUCACGCUAUCAGAUGAGCCUAGGUCGGAUUAGCUAGUUGGUGGGGUAAAGGCCUACCAAGGCGACGAUCCGUAACUGGUCUGAGAGGAUGAUCAGUCACACUGGAACUGAGACACGGUCCAGACUCCUACGGGAGGCAGCAGUGGGGAAUAUUGGACAAUGGGCGAAAGCCUGAGCCAGCCAUGCCGCGUGUGUGAAGAAGGUCUUCGGAUUGUAAAGCACUUUAAGUUGGGAGGAAGGGCAGUAAGUUAAGACCUUGCUGUUUGGACGUUACCAACAGAAUAAGCACCGGCGAACUUCGG
rnacentral:rRNA from 1 species